rnacentral:lncRNA from 1 species
AGGGCUUCAGGCCACGUACCAUAUUUACUCGCAUAAUCCUCGCACUUGCGUAAUUCUCGCACCCCCCACAUCGCCCAACAAAAAUGCGAUUUUUUUUUCCUCGCGUAAUUAUCGCACCCUGAAAAAUAGCAGCAUCAAAUGUCGUCUGCUUCUUCCAGCCAAUGAUGAUAGCACGCGGUAGCCUAGCGCCAUCUCU